rnacentral:snRNA from 14 species
AUCGCUUCUCGGCCUUUUGGCUAAGAUCAAGUGUAGUAUCUGUUCUUAUCAGUUUAAAAACGUAAAGCCGAGUCUCUUUAAGCUUG